rnacentral:rRNA from 1 species
UACGAAGGGGCUAGCGUUGCUCGGAAUUACUGGGCGUAAAGGGCGCGUAGGCGGAUCUUUAAGUCGGGGUGAAAGCCUGAGGCUCAACCUCAGAAUUGCCUUCGAUACUGGAGAUCUUGAGACCGGAAGAGGUAAGUGGAACUGCGAGUGUAGAGGUGAAAUUCGUAGAUAUUCGCAAGAACACCAGUGGCGAAGGCGGCUUACUGGUCCGGUUCUGACGCUGAGGCGCGAAAGCGUGGGAGCAAACAGG